rnacentral:antisense_RNA from 1 species
UGAGAUUUUUUGUUUAAUUAUACAUAUGGUUGCCAGCAUAUGGAUUAACUUGAUAAAAAGUUGAUGAUGAGUUUGAUGGGAAGUUAAAUUGGGAAUGAUAGUAUGGGUGGCUUGUGGAAACGUGAGAAGGAAAUAUAUUUGGUAUAGGAUCUCCAUUCUCGUUAAUAAACGUAAUAUCAUUACUUGGAGGAACUUGAGAUAAACUCUGAUAUGGAGCGUUGCUUUCAAUAUGAAUAGGCAUUGUAGUAUUACCAAGAAUCUUUUCAGGCUCUCUAAUAUGAGUAAAGAAAUCCAAAUUAUCCCAGGAGUUAUUCUUGGUAAAGUAAGCAAAAGCACUUCGAAUACAAGUGGAAAAUGUCCUCCCCUGCAUGUCAUAACAAAAUCCUUCUGUAUUACGUCCAGCAAAUCUCUUCUUAAUUGCUUCAGGUUUCUUAUAAUACUCAUAAAAUGUCACGUUAGACAUGAUUGAUUUAACAUGUCUGAUAAAUAGAUACAAUACGAAAAUCAUCCAUGGGAUAUUCAUAAUGCUGUUGAACAUUAUUAAAGCGAACCAAGGAUCAGAUGUCAUGAAAUAAUAGGCUUUUUCGUGGAAAUAAAUACCCUCAGUGUCACCAACUCCAAGGAAAAGAUCUCCAGUCUGCAUUGUAAACCAGUUAUUAUUCGAAUCAGUGGAUGAAAUCUUCUUGAGAGAUGCUGAAAACUUGAAUCUGAAAGAGCAAUAUUGUUGGAACAAGUAGUAGUAGAGGAAGAAUGAGAUUGUGAGAAACUUUAGGAAGAAGAAGAAUGCUCUUUGAUUCCCAUAGCCAACACAAGAAUCAAUCCAUACGCAAUGAUGGUCAAAUCUUUGUAUACAAUAUCCGCAAUCUGAACAAUGAUGUCCUCUAAAUGGCCUUUCUGUUCUGCAAGUAACACAUAUUUUUGGUAAAACUGGAGCAGUCGAAUUUAUUGGUUUUCCUUCAACAAUAUCAAUAUAAAUCUUUGAAUUAUUAGAUUGCCUUUCCUUUGCAACAAAAGGCAUCAGC